UACGAAGGGGGCUAGCGUUGCUCGGAAUUACUGGGCGUAAAGGGCGCGUAGGCGGACAGUUUAGUCAGAGGUAAAAGCCCAGGGCUCAACCUUGGAACUGCCUUUGAUACUGGCUGUCUUGAGUUCGGGAGAGGUGAGUGGAAUGCCGAGUGUAGAGGUGAAAUUCGUAGAUAUUCGGCGGAACACCAGUGGCGAAGGCGACUCACUGGCCCGAUACUGACGCUGAGGCGCGAAAGCGUGGGGAGCGAACCGG
rnacentral:rRNA from 1 species